rnacentral:rRNA from 1 species
GACGAACGCUGGCGGCGUGCCUAAUACAUGCAAGUUGAGCGCUGAAGGUUGGUACUUGUACCAACUGGAUGAGCAGCGAACGGGUGAGUAACGCGUGGGGAAUCUGCCUUUGAGCGGGGGACAACAUUUGGAAACGAAUGCUAAUACCGCAUAAAAACUUUAAACACAAGUUUUAAGUUUGAAAGAUGCAAUUGCAUCACUCAAAGAUGAUCCCGCGUUGUAUUAGCUAGUUGGUGAGGUAAAGGCUCACCAAGGCGAUGAUACAUAGCCGACCUGAGAGGGUGAUCGGCCACAUUGGGACUGAGACACGGCCCAAACUCCUACGGGAGGCAGCAGUAGGGAAUCUUCGGCAAAGGACGAAAGUCUGACCGAGCAACGCCGCGUGAGUGAAGAAGGUUUUCGGAUCGUAAAACUCUGUUGGUAGAGAAGAACGUUGGUGAGAGUGGAAAGCUCAUCAAGUGACGGUAACUACCCAGAAAGGGACGGCUAACUACGU